CAAGUCGAGCGGAACGAGUUAUCUGAACCUUCGGGGAACGAUAACGGCGUCGAGCGGCGGACGGGUGAGUAAUGCCUAGGAAAUUGCCCUGAUGUGGGGGAUAACCAUUGGAAACGAUGGCUAAUACCGCAUAACACCUUCGGGUCAAAGAGGGGGACCUUCGGGCCUCUCGCGUCAGGAUAUGCCUAGGUGGGAUUAGCUAGUUGGUGAGGUAAUGGCUCACCAAGGCGACGAUCCCUAGCUGGUCUGAGAGGAUGAUCAGCCACACUGGAACUGAGACACGGUCCAGACUCCUACGGGAGGCAGCAGUGGGGAAUAUUGCACAAUGGGCGCAAGCCUGAUGCAGCCAUGCCGCGUGUGUGAAGAAGGCCUUCGGGUUGUAAAGCACUUUCAGUCGUGAGGAAGGUAGUGUAGUUAAUAGCUGCAUUAUUUGACGUUAGCGACAGAAGAAGCACCGGCUAACUCCGUGCCAGCAGC
rnacentral:rRNA from 1 species